rnacentral:rRNA from 1 species
GACGGAAGGUGCAAGCGUUGCUCGGAAUCACUGGGCGUAAAGGGUGCGUAGGCGGCCGCGCAAGUCUGGCGUGAAAGCCCCGGGCUCAACCUGGGAAUGGCAUGGGAAACUGGCGGGCUGGAGUGUGGCAGAGGGGGGUAGAAUUCCGCGUGUAGCAGUGAAAUGCGUAGAGAUGCGGAGGAACACCGAUGGCGAAGGCAGCCCCCUGGGCCAACACUGACGCUCAGGCACGAAAGCGUGGGGAGCAAACAGG